rnacentral:rRNA from 1 species
GCGAAGNCAGCUUGCUGGACUGUAACUGACGCUGAGGCACGAAAGCGUGGGGAUCAANCAGGAUNAGAUACCCUGGUANNCCACGCCGUAAACGAUGAAUGCUAGCUGUUAGCGAUAUACUGUUAGCNGCACAGAGAAAUCGUUAAGCAUUCCACCUGGGGAGUACGCCGGCAACGGUGAAACUCAAAGGAAUUGACGGGGGCCCGCACAAGCGGAGGAACAUGUGGUUUAAUUCGAUGAUACGCGAGGAACCUUACCUGGGCUUAAAUUGCAGUGGAAUAACGUGGAAACAUGUUAGCCUUCGGGCCGCUGUGAAGGUGCUGCAUGGUUGUCGUCAGCUCGUGCCGUGAGGUGUCGGCUUAAGUGCCAUAACGAGCGCAACCCUCAUCGAUAGUUACUAACAGGUUAAGCUGAGGACUCUAUCGAGACUGCCGACGUAAGUCGUGAGGAAGGUGGGGAUGACGUCAAAUCAGCACGGCCCUUACGUCCAGGGCUACACACGUGUUACAAUGGGGGGUACAAAGGGCAGCUACCUGGCGACAGGAUGCUAAUCUCAAAAACCUCUCUCAGUUCGGAUUGGAGUCUGCAACCCGACUCCAUGAAGCUGGAUUCGCUAGUAAUCGCGCAUCAGCCACGGCGCGGUGAAUACGUUCCCGGGCCUUGUACACACCGCCCGUCAAGCCAUGGGAGCCGGGGGGACCUGAAGUAUGCAACCGUAAGGAGCGUCCUAGGGUAAAACUGGUGACUGGGGCU